UCUGACUUCAGCUCCAAAUCAACCCAGAAAUGUAGGCCUGAUCCCCCAACCCUCCUGCUAUGUGUCUUCCCGUCUGUCUGUGUGCACAUCAGUCGCUCAGUCACACAGUGGCCCACCCGGGCCCAUCGGGUGGUUGGAAGUGGGUUUAGACUCCAGAAAGGUGGGGCUUGAAUCCCCUCGCUUUCUUGUUGUGGGACCUUGGACAAGUCGCUCAAUUGCUUUGUGUCUCAGUUGCCCCCCUGGUGACAGAGAUGAUAACAGCGCUGGUCUGUCCCCCAGGGGUGAGGAGUAAGUGAGUUAAUAGCUGUGAAAGGUUCAGCAAGGCGCCCAGCCCACGGCUAAUCGUAGGCACUCCAUUCAUCCAGCCCCUCUGUGUCCCUUGACCUUGGGGAAUAUGAAUAAUGACACCUGAGCUUCACCUAUUUAAUCCCUGGGAACGGUCACACGAUGAAUAAGACCUUGUCUCUCGUCUCACGGGAUUUUCGGCCUGAAGGGAGCUCGGACAGAUGAAUAACCUCCAAUCAAAGACAUGAGUGAGUCCAUUGUGCCUGCUGGUGGGCGCCUCCCAGGCUCCCAUCCCGGAAACUAAGCCCCUGGGUGAUGGGCUCAGCGAAGGCCGAAGGGGGCCUUCCUCCCCUGGCUUCAGUCCGAUUGCUGUCCCUGAAGAAGGCCCUGGAAGGAGGCAGCCUAGGGCGUGAAUGGCAGCACCUCCAAGCCCAGCUUUGGAAUAAAGAAGGCCCAUUUUUCAAAAGCUUCUCAGCAAAUUUUGACAAACAGCAGAUUUGGGGAAAGACUCGCUUCAAGAACUUCUUUGGAGCCAACAGCUCUGGAUUCAAAUUUUGCUUCUGACAUUGACACGUUUAAGUGACCUUGGGCAGGAUACGUGACCUCUUCUAGCAGCAAGGCUUCACUUUCCUGUGCCUAGAAGGGGGUACUCCUGUAGUGUUUUAAUGAAGAUUGGAAAUAAUUUAUGGCUGGUACCUGCUGCAUCCUAGCAGAUAACAAUAAUAAAGUUACACGUAUGAGCA
ensembl:lncRNA